AUUGAACGCUGGCGGCAUGCCUUACACAUGCAAGUCGAACGGCAGCACGGGGGCAACCCUGGUGGCGAGUGGCGAACGGGUGAGUAAUGCAUCGGAACGUGCCCCGUAGCGGGGAUAACCAGUCGAAAGACUGGCUAAUACCGCAUACGCUCCACGGAGGAAAGCAGGGGAUCGCAAGACCUUGCACUAUGGGAGCGGCCGAUGCCCGAUUAGCUAGUUGGUGAGGUAAAGGCUCACCAAGGCGACGAUCGGUAGCUGGUUCGAGAGAACGACCAGCCACACUGGGACUGAGACACGGCCCAGACUCCUACGGGAGG
rnacentral:rRNA from 1 species